UACGUAGGGUGCGAGCGUUAAUCGGAAUUACUGGGCGUAAAGCGUGCGCAGGCGGCUUCGCAAGUCAGACGUGAAAUCCCCGGGCUUAACCUGGGAAUGGCGUUUGAAACUACGGAGCUGGAGUGUGGCAGAGGGAGGUAGAAUUCCACGUGUAGCGGUGAAAUGCGUAGAUAUGUGGAGGAAUACCGAUGGCGAAGGCAGCCUCCUGGGCCGACACUGACGCUCAUGCACGAAAGCGUGGGGAGCAAACAGG
rnacentral:rRNA from 1 species